GGUGCCUCGGCCGCUCUCCCGGGCGCGGGCUGGGCGGUGGGCGAUCGGCGCAGGGCGAUGCAUGGCCGCGCGGACUCACGGAGCCCCCCGGCCUGAAGCCUCCGCCUCACACCUCCGCUCCCGCACCGGGUCCCGACAACAGGCCGCCCGACUCCCCGACGAGGUCAGACCCGCCGGCCCGCGCCGCGCCGAGCUGCGAGUCAGCCCUUACUUGUCCUGAUUCUUCCUUUGACGGACGUUCGCCUCCCGCUUGAGACAGUGAAUUCCACGGGACAGACAUUGUGUCCCCCCCACCACCUUUUUUUUUUUUUUUUUUUUUUGCACAAGAGUAUGUGGGGCAGUUGUAGGGUUCAGGAAUAGCCUUUGGAUGAUUAAAUAACGAACAGGUCGGAACCUCUUGUGGACAGGUUUUGACACAUCGCGGGGAGGUGGGGUUAAAGGAUAAAACGAAAACAGGAAAAGGAAGUCCCCCAGAUGGAAGGUUUUGUGGUUUUUGUGGUUGUGUUCCUCGCAGAGGGAUCCCAAAUAGACCUCGUCCAUCUCAAAAUGACUCCUGGGUUCAGGCCUCGUGGGAGAGUUAGAGAACUUUCCAGAAUUGGCUCCUGCUUGAUACCAUCCAGGCUAAACCACAAGUAUUAAUUGAACGUAUUCUACAUAGUAGAUGCAGGCAGGAUGUGAAAAGAAUAUGAUCUAGUCCCUGGUCCAUAGAGCUCCGACUUGAUAAGAUAACAGCCCAACAAUAUAGUCCACUGGGAAAUCCCAAGGUUUUAAAAACAGACAGAACUGGGUCUGCAACCUGGCACUGUUGCGAGACUUGGCAAAACCUCUGAGGACUCAGUUUUUCCUACCUAAAUACAGCUUUAGCAUCCUCAUCGACUAAACCACAACCCUGGUUCAUCGUCACCAACUCUGUCUGUACUGACCCAGCUAAACAGUAGCUACAGAAAAACCCAGAACCAGGCUGGCUGAUCUGACUUCAAAUAUAUGACCGCUAACCUCAAAUGGACGCUAAUGCUGCCUGGAAACCACACUACGUCUCUCCAGUCAUUCUCCAAUUAACAACCAUGACCAGGAAUAGGAAUGCCAGAUUUAGCAAAUAAAGGAAUUUUAUUUAGCAACCCUAUCCAUGAAGCAGUUGCUAAUAUGGAAUUUCAGUCAUUGUGGCAAAUGGUGGGGAAGCUAUUUUGAAGUGGGGGCUUUUUCAGAGCCCUUCUCAACACAGGAUGCCAGGGAGUGACCUAGAAUAUCAAGAUGGUUAACUCUGGUUUUGGCUGUGGACUACAGUCAUUGUUCUCCUAGCUGGAAUUAAGAGGCCAAGAUCCCCAGAGAGAAGAAACAGCAAACCAACACUUCAAAGGGAGAAAAACAAAUGAAAAAAAGAGAGGCCCUGGGAAACACUCAUUAGCGGUAAGCCAUCAAAAACCACCAAGAAGGAAUGGCCAGGACCAAGAGGGGGAUGUGUCACUGAAGCCAAGAAGAAAGUGUUUCAAGGAGGCAGGAAGAAUCAGCUAUCUCUACAUUGGUGAGAAGCUGAGAAAGAUGUAGAAACGUGACCUUUGGCUUUGGCCGGUUGGAAGUCACUAGAGAUUUUGGCAAGAACAUCUCAGUAGAGCAUAUGAACCAAGCCUGCAUGAACAGUGAAGAGAAGAGAAGACAUGAAGAUAUCCCUUUGGAACGAUUGUGCUGUAAGGAGGAGGACAGGUGAUAGAUGCUCCAUCCAGUCUAAAGAAAUGGAAGGAUAUGUACUAAGGCCCUGCUCCACCUUGCCCAGAUGGAAUCAGUGGAGACCUUUUUAACUUUGAGGACCUUGCUGCAGCGCUCCAAGAUGAGGAUUCCUGGCUCACAGCUGCUAAAACCCUUGGAAUUCCAUAAGGGUUGAGAAUGAUGAAGAUAUGUUUUGUUAUGUUAAUGAGGUAACUUUUGGAAAUCACCCUAAGGUUGGGGGCUGGUUGCCAGUGGAGCCAACCAAAUGUUAGAGGGUUGGAAUCUUCAGUCCCCUCCAACUCCAGAGAGGGGAGAGGGGCAGGAGACGGAGCGCAAACAUGGUCAAUGGUCAACCAUGCCUAUGUAAUGAAGCCCUCAUAGAAACCCAAAAAGAUGGAGUUUGUGGAAUUUCCAGUUUGGUGAACAUGUGCAAAUACUGGGAGAGUGGGAUGCCCAGAAAGGGCCUACAAACUCCUUGUCCCUUCUCCAUACCUUGCUCUCUGCAUCUCUUCCA